CCGCUUCACGGAGUAAUUCUCCUUCUCAACCAGCCUCCGCCAUUAUGCCUCUGACGUGCGGCUUCCCUGCGCUGCGAAACUCUGGCGUCACUCUGUUUACAAGUAGCCCAGCGCCACCUAAAGGCCAAAAACCAAUCACACAGAACUUUAUCCUGGCAGCAGUGGGUUCACUGGAUGAACACAGGAAGAAGCUGUCCACUGUCUUCCUUUUCUGUGAGCUUGUCCAAGAUGCUGAACUGAACUGAACUGGAUGACUCUAAACUCUGCCUUUUUGGACAAUUCAAGACAAAGAGUAUUAGAACAACGUGCUUUGGUUGUAAGCUUAGCAUGCAUAUAUUGGUAGCCAGAGUGGUUAAACUUGAGGUUUCUCCACAAGUAUAUAUUUAACAAUUUUGUAAACUGAUUGAUUUCCUAUGAACCUGCUCUUUGAGUUUACUUCCAGUGAACCUUCUACUUUGUUUAAUCGCAGCCAUCUUCACAUCAAACCAGCUGUUAAUCUGUUAUGUAAACCGAUGGGAUAAUGGUCAUCACUGGUCUGCAGUCUGUAUGAUAUGCCCCUACUGUGACAUCCCACUAUAUGAGGAAUGUCUUCACAUUUUCACUCCCAGUUGUUUGAGUGUGACUUUUAAUCAUAUAAAAAUGAGAAUAGUGAAAUAAGCUGUUUCUCAUCAAAACUUUC